GCGAAAGCUCCCUUCGGGGAGCAAGUAGAGUGGCGCACGGGUGAGUAACACGUAGGUAAUCUACCUUUGGAUGGGGAAUAACAACCGGAAACGGUUGCUAAUACCGCAUAAUGCAGCGGCACCUAAUGGUGACAGUUGUUAAAGCGGGGGAUCGAAAGACCUCGCGUCUGAAGAGGAGCCUGCGGCAGAUUAGCUAGUUGGUAAGGUAACGGCUUACCAAGGCGAUGAUCUGUAGCCGGCCUGAGAGGGCGGUCGGCCACACUGACACUGACAUACGGGUCAGACUCCUACGGGAGGCAGCAGUCGGGAAUUUUGGGCAAUGGGCGAAAGCCUGACCCAGCAACGCCGCGUGAAGGAUGAAAUCCCUCGGGAUGUAAACUUCGCAAGAACGGGAAGAAUAAGUAAGGGUUAAUAUCCCUUACGAUGACGGUACUGUUUGUAAGCUCCGGCUAACUCCGUGCCAGCAGCUGCGGUAAUACGGGGGGAGCAAGCGUUGUUCGGAUUUACUGGGCGUAAAGGGCGCGUAGGCGGCCUCUGCAAGUCGACUGUGAAAUCUCCGGGCUUAACCCGGAAAGGUCAGCCGAUACUGCAGGGCUAGAGUGCAGAAGGGGCAACUGGAAUUCUCGGUGUAGCGGUGAAAUGCGUAGAUUUCGAGAGGAACACCUGCGGCGAAGGCGGGUUGCUGGGCUGACACUGACGCUGAUGCGCGAAAGCUAGGGGAGCGAACGGGGAUUAGAUACCCCGGUAGUCCUAGCCUUAACGAUGAAUGCUUGGUGUCU
rnacentral:rRNA from 1 species